rnacentral:lncRNA from 1 species
GAGUGCUAUGGAAGAACAUAAUUUAAAUGUUUGAUUUAAUAUUUCAUUGUAUGAACUCUCCCUAGGUGCUAGAUUUAUAUAAACUUCCAUCUACUUCCAAACUCCCCAAUGCCACCCAAUACUCUCUGGUUACCAGAAAUUUUAAUUAUUGUCCGUGGCUGAAAAUCCUUCCUUCUACAAACAUGAUAGCAGACUUGACUGCUUCUCCAGAAUCCAUUAUGUUAGAGGAGACUCACCCACACCAAAGAGUCCUGGCCACACUGAGGUAGAGAAGAAGGCUAUUUUUGGAAUUAGAAUAAUCUUUGAAGGAAAUUCCCAAGUUUACCAUAACCAAUAGGAAUAAAAACUGCCCUAGGUAGAGAGAUAUUCAGCUCUCUGGUAGAUUAGCUAGUGGGCUAAAUCGCUGGUAAAUUAAUUUUAUAUUCCCUAAUAAUUAGCUUUGUUAAUCUUGUGCCAUAAGAGACUUUCUAUUCAUGGAAUCACAAACAGCAUUUGUUGUUGAAAAAUACUAACACUAGUGAAACUAACCCAGAAAUAGAUACGGUGCAAGAGGAAGCAGGAUGCCCGCUCACGCGGGGCCUCAAAGGCCAUCAAAGAGAUUCUGGCUUUUCCUUGUUUCAAUAAUAUUUAUAAUAACC